UUUCCGUAGGUGAGCCUGCGGAAGGAUCAUUCAUAAUAAAGUGUUUUAUGGCACUUUUUAAAAAUCCAUAUCCACCUUGUGUGCAAUGUUAGAUCUCGUCAAUCUUGGCGAGAUUUUUAUACAUCAACUCAUUCUUUAACUAAUUUGUCUGAAAAAUAUUAUGAAUACUUAAUACAAAAUACAACUUUCAACAACGGAUCUCUUGGCUCUC
rnacentral:misc_RNA from 1 species